GAUGAACGCUGGCGGCGUGCUUAACACAUGCAAGUCGAACGAAGCACUUUAUUUGAUUUCCUUCGGGACUGAUUAUUUUGUGACUGAGUGGCGGACGGGUGAGUAACGCGUGGGUAACCUGCCUUGUACAGGGGGAUAACAGUUGGAAACGGCUGCUAAUACCGCAUAAGCGCACAGCAUCGCAUGAUGCAGUGUGAAAAACUCCGGUGGUAUAAGAUGGACCCGCGUUGGAUUAGCUAGUUGGUGAGGUAACGGCCCACCAAGGCGACGAUCCAUAGCCGACCUGAGAGGGUGACCGGCCACAUUGGGACUGAGACACGGCCCAAACUCCUACGGGAGGCAGCAGUGGGGAAUAUUGCACAAUGGGCGAAAGCCUGAUGCAGCGACGCCGCGUGAGCGAAGAAGUAUUUCGGUAUGUAAAGCUCUAUCAGCAGGGAAGAUAAUGACGGUACCUGACUAAGAAGCACCGGCUAAAUACGUGCCAGCAGCCGCGGUAAUACGUAUGGUGCAAGCGUUAUCCGGAUUUACUGGGUGUAAAGGGAGCGCAGGCGGUGCGGCAAGUCUGAUGUGAAAGCCCGGGGCUCAACCCCGGUACUGCAUUGGAAGCUGUCGUACUAGAGUGUCGGAGGGGUAAGCGGAAUUCCUAGUGUAGCGGUGAAAUGCGUAGAUAUUAGGAGGAACACCAGUGGCGAAGGCGGCUUACUGGACGAUAACUGACGCUGAGGCUCGAAAGCGUGGGGAGCAAACAGGAUUAGAUACCCUGGUAGUCCACGCCGUAAACGAUGACUACUAGGUGUUGGGCAGCAAAGCUGUUCGGUGCCGCAGCAAACGCAAUAAGUAGUCCACCUGGGGAGUACGUUCGCAAGAAUGAAACUCAAAGGAAUUGACGGAAGGG
rnacentral:rRNA from 1 species